UACGGAGGGUGCAAGCGUUAUCCGGAUUCACUGGGCUUAAAGGGUGCGUAGGUGGGCAAGUAAGUCAGUGGUGAAAUCUCCGGGCUUAACCCGGAAACUGCCAUUGAUACUAUUUGUCUUGAAUACUGUGGAGGUCAGCGGAAUAUGUCAUGUAGCGGUGAAAUGCUUAGAUAUGACAUAGAACACCAAUUGCGAAGGCAGCUGGCUAGACAAAUAUUGACACUGAGGCACGAAAGCGUGGGGAGCAAACAGG
rnacentral:rRNA from 1 species